ensembl:lncRNA
GAAUGACUUUAUUUUGGUCUGUAAUGAGCUUGCUCUCUUUUCUAAAACUUAUCUCUGGGCGGUGAACAGAAGACCGCGCGCUCCCGUUAAGCCCUUCGUGCCCCGGGGAAGCCAUGCUUGAAAUCUGAAUGGGACGUCACAAAAGAGAAACAGCAGGCAGUAUAAACCCAGGUGGACAACUCUGAGGACGUUUGGCAGCACAAUAUAAAGAUUGCUGUUGUUGGUGCUUCCUACGCUGAAGAUCCUGUUGAUGUCUCUCUUAUUCUUGACGGCAAGGAGGUUGUGACUGGAUGUGGAAAUACUGCAAAGCCAUGUACACUGCUAAUGGGUCUGAUAUAUUCCCUCAAUCUUGCUUAUCCUCCAACACUGUGUUACGCUUUUGAAGUGUUCCAGAAGCUUUUCUUAGACUUAGACGCAAUAAAGCUAUCCCCCAAAGUACAAACUCUGAAAAUGAAGUUGCUGUCCAAAACUUAAAAGAUGACAUUUUAUUCAGCUUUAUUCAGCUUGGUAUGCCAUUGCCAUUAUAGCAGUUUAUGCUAUAAAGUUGUAUUGUUAUUGUGUAGCUCUUGCACAUGCUUCAAAGUCGUUAAUUGUUCAUUAAUGUUAAUACAGUUGCAAAAC